rfam:Stegodyphus mimosarum contig125226, whole genome shotgun sequence.
GCCUUCGUAGUGUAGUGGUCAGCACGCUCGAUGCUUAACCGAGAGGUCCGUGGUUCGAUUCCCGGUGAAGGCG